UUCCACAGCUACUGGUCUGCAGCUGUUCGCAUGGUAGCAACUGCAGCAUUCCUCUGUGGGAAAAAAACUGUUACACAACUAAACACCUCUUUCUUAACCAAACAGAAAGUGGGCAUGUGUGUGACAAACACAA
ensembl:snoRNA